CAGCCGCCGCACCAGCGAAGCUCCAAAAGCAUCUGGACUACUUCUCUCUUCAGGUGCUCUCUCUCUCUCUCUCUCUCGGUUAAACUGAACUUAUAUACUGCCGGACAAAGCCAUUCAAUCUUGUUCUCGAGGCAUCUGUUCGACGAUGCUUGCAAUUGUCCUCGUAUGGGCAGAGUUAUGCCUAAAGUGUAGACAAUCACGUUAUUACCCAGACGGAUGGGAAUUGAUAGAACCCAUGCUUCGAGAAUUGCAAACUGAGAUCAGGGAAUGUUAAUAUUUUUGUUAUUUUAUUUAGCUGUUUUUGCAACGACGUGUGGAAGCUGAGGAAUUUGCUCUACCGUUGGCUUGUAACCAGGGUGAUGAAGAGCUAUAAAUCUUCCUCGAAAAAGAAGGUUUGAUCCUAGGCUUUUUAAUUGUUGGAGUUGGUUGAUGAUUUAUCAUGGAAGAGAAUGAUUAUAUGUCAUCUGUGGCUCAAGUUGUUUGAUACGAAAUAAUCUUCAUUAUUUGUUCCUUUGUUGUGUGUAUAACCAUCGUCUCCUAGAAGAUUGAUUUUUUUAGGCUGAAAUGCGUACACGAUCCUCAUGAUGGCAAGCGCAAAUGUGAGGCACUGUGGCCCAUUUUCAAGAUCGCUCACCAGAAAAGCUGACAUGUAUUUGAUUUGUAUCACUGCAGGAAACAAAUCUCGAGAGAAUUGUAUGAGUUCUGCUUGGAGCAGGGUUAUGCUGACAGAAACCUUAUUACCAAGUGGAAGAAGACUGCUUAGGCUCAUCCGACAACCAUUGCUAAAACAGCUUAUUUGUCAGCAACGGGCUUGUCAUGCCCGGUUGGGGAAAGAUCUUCAGGGAAAAAAGCAGUGACCGCGAGAAUGGGAAA